UAGGGAAUAUUAGAAAUGGACGAAAGUCUGAUCUAGCAAUACCGCGUGUGCGAAGAAGGCCUUCGGGUCGUAAAGCACUUUUUGGAAGGAAUAGGAAGGAAUGUACUUCCAGAAUAAGUCUCGGCUAACUACGUGCCAGCAGCCGCGGUAACACGUAGGAGGCAAACGUUAUCCGGAUUUACUGGGCGUAAAGCGCGUGUAGGUGGUACUGUAAGUAGGGCGUGAAAGCUCCUGGCUCAACUGGGAGAGGCCGUUCUAAACUACAGAACUAGAGGAUGGUAGAGGGAGGUGGAAUUCCAGGUGUAGCGGUGGAAUGCGCAGAUAUCUGGAGGAACACCAGUGGCGAAAGCGGCCUCCUGGUCCGCAACUGACGCUCAGACGCGAAAGCUAGGGUAGCAAACGG
rnacentral:rRNA from 1 species